rnacentral:sRNA from 1 species
CAAUGAACAGUUGUACUCAGGGCCCAGCAGUGCUGCACAGCGUCUCUUCCAGGAAGACCCUGAAGCUUUUCUUCUCUACCACCGCGGCUUCCAGAGCCAAGUGAAGAAGUGGCCACUGCAGCCAGUGGACCGCAUCGCCAGGGAUCUUCGCCAGCGGUGAAUGGGGGUCAGGGACUGUGAGAAGCCAUGUGGUGGGUCAGUCAUAGGCUCAGAUCAGACCAAUAUGUGACCCUUGCCUUCCACUCUCAGGCCUGCAUCCCUAGUGGUGGCUGACUUCGGCUGUGGGGAUUGCCGCUUGGCUUCAAGUAUCCGGAACCCUGUGCAUUGCUUUGACUUGGCUUCUCUGGACCCUAGGGUCACUGUGUGUGACAUGGCCCAGGUUCCUCUGGAGGAUGAGUCUGUGGAUGUGGCUGUGUUUUGCCUUUCACUGAUGGGAACCAACAUCAGGGACUUCCUAGAGGAGGCAAAUAGAGUACUGAAGCCAGGGGGUCUCCUGAAAGUGGCUGAGGUCAGCAGCCGCUUCGAGGAUGUUCGAACCUUUCUGCGGGCUGUGACCAAGCUAGGCUUCAAGAUUGUCUCCAAGGUGAGGGCCCCAAGACGUCUGUACCUGUUUUUGUCUCAUGUGGCCCUUUUCAGGGUACUGGUGUUCAGGAAGGAGGCUUUAGGCACAGGAACAGACAUUUUGCUCCCCAACGGAAGUGGGAGCCCUGGGAAGCUUUCUGAGCAGAGGCAGUACAUAGAGGGAGGUGUUUUAAGGAGUUGGGAUGAGGAUUUGGUUCUCACUGGGUCUUUUCUGCCCCUAGGACCUGAGCAACAGCCAUUUCUUCUUGUUUGAUUUCCAAAAGACUGGGCCCCCUCUGGUAGGGCCCAAGGCUCAGCUUUCAGGCCUGCAGCUUCAGCCAUGUCUCUACAAGCGCAGGUGACCUCUGGAUCUUCCUUGAAAGGGGAGGCAGAUCUCAAACUCCAGGCUCAGAACUGUGAAGACUGUUUCCAGCCUGGCUGUGAGCCAAGACCUGGUUCCUGGUGGACCCUGAGGACAAAGUGUGAUAAAACCUCUGGCUCAGACUUGCUCUACUGAAGGCUUCUUGGUUAUAAGAUGCAUAAAGUCACUGGGGCUAGCUAAACA